CUACCAGUUGGGGAGAAAAAGGGAGAAAAGUAAAAAAAAAAAAAAAAAAUGUAAACAGGCAGAGAGGAGACGAGAGGAACUUUUCACCUUUUGCACCGAGAGAAAGUCUAACAAGCCUCAUGACUGCAGGGAGAGAGAGAGCGAGAGGGAAGCAGCCAGAUGGUGGAAAGUCCUCCUGCCAGACACCUGGCCACUUCAGAAUGGAUGAACCGCUCACCUUUACAAAGUCCUUACUUGGGUAUUUCCUGCCACAGGUACACACUGUAUGGAUCACCGUGGCUGGCUGGUGACUCUGGGAUCACAAAUCACAAACUGUUUCUGUACUGCGUCACGCUGUUUGUUUUUAGGUGUUCAUAUCCGUGACACUGUUGGUGAAAGUUUAGGGAUUCCCCAGCUUUCUCCCAGCAGACUUGGCGCACAUUCAAGAACUGUCAAAGAGCACCUGCUAAAUUAACCGCUGAGCUGCUCUAAAUAGGUGCCACCCUGAAUAGGAGACAGAUGGAAACGAAGGUUCCCCACUGAGCGGUUCCCCUGCAGCUGUGCUGUGUUCCCAAUGCCAGGGAGUGAUGACAGCCCACCAAGGGGCACAGAGACACACGGAGACACACGUUCUGAGUGCCAUCACGCUCACUCACAAUGCCAGGACCGACUGGCAGGGAGGGAGGAGGAGGUAGGUUAACCCCUUGUGAAUGUUGACCUAUUUAAAGGUAGCCGAUAUGAGUAAGACCUUUAAACAGGUCAACAUUCACAGACGGAUUA